AUAGACAGCGGUAGUGUCCACCCAACCCAAUCUGAGAGUACAACUACAAAGCCCUCUUUUCUCCUCCGUUUCGCAUUUUUCUUCUUCUUUUUCUUCGUUUUUAAACUAACUUGAGUGGUGCACUCGCAUCGCAGAGGCACCUCAACUCUCGAUAUUGCAUACCUUUCAGAUCUCAGAGAUUCACCUCCUCCUCCCAUGGCUCAGCCACUCGUGAAGAAGGACGAUGACCGCGACGACGAAGCUGAGUAUUCUCCCUUUUUGGGGAUUGAAAAGGGAGCUGUUCUUCAGGAGGCCAGGGUUUUUAAUGACCCGCAACUAGAUGCUAGGAGAUGUUCGCAGGUUAUCACAAAACUUUUGUACCUACUGAAUCAGGGAGAGACAUUUACAAAGAUCGAAGCCACGGAAGUUUUCUUUGCUGUGACUAAGCUUUUCCAGUCUCGAGAUCUUGGGUUAAGGAGAAUGGUCUACCUGAUGAUAAAAGAACUCUCCCCCUCUGCAGAUGAGGUUAUUAUUGUCACAAGCUCUCUCAUGAAGGACAUGAAUAGUAAGACUGAUAUGUAUAGGGCAAAUGCCAUUCGUGUGCUUUGUCGUAUCACGGACGGAACUCUCCUUACCCAGAUCGAGCGGUAUUUAAAACAGGCAAUUGUUGAUAAGAAUCCAGUUGUUGCAAGUGCGGCCCUUGUUAGUGGCAUUCAUCUACUCCAGACAAAUCCUGAGAUUGUAAAAAGGUGGAGCAAUGAGGUUCAGGAAGCUGUUCAAUCAAGGGCAGCUCUUGUACAAUUUCAUGCGCUGGCUCUGCUGCAUCAGAUACGGCAGAAUGAUCGACUAGCUGUUAGCAAGCUGGUUACCAGCUUGACCAGGGGAAAUGUGCGCUCUCCUUUGGCCCAAUGCCUUUUGAUUCGUUAUACAAGUCAGGUUAUUCGUGAGUCAGGAAAUAAUACACAACCAGGGGAACGCCCCUUCUAUGAUUAUCUUGAGAGUUGCCUUCGUCACAAGUCAGAGAUGGUAAUUUUUGAAGCUGCCAAGGCAAUUACAGAGCUCAAUGGUGUAACUACCCGAGAAUUAACCCCGGCAAUUACUGUUCUUCAGCUCUUCUUAAGUUCUUCUAAGCCAGUCUUGAGAUUUGCUGCUGUCCGCACCUUAAAUAAGGUGGCAAUGACACAUCCAAUGGCAGUCACUAACUGCAACAUUGAUAUGGAAAGUUUAAUCUCUGACCAGAACAGAAGCAUUGCUACACUUGCUAUUACAACUCUUUUGAAGACAGGAAAUGAAUCAAGUGUGGACCGUCUUAUGAAGCAGAUUACAAAUUUCAUGUCUGAUAUUGCUGAUGAGUUCAAAAUUGUUGUUGUUGAAGCAAUAAGAUCAUUGUGCUUGAAAUUCCCUUUAAAAUAUAGAUCUCUGAUGAAUUUCCUGAGUAACAUUCUUAGGGAAGAAGGUGGCUUUGAAUACAAGAAAGCAAUUGUAGAUUCAAUUGUGAUUCUUAUUAGAGAUAUCCCCGAUGCCAAGGAAAGUGGGUUGCUUCAUCUUUGUGAGUUCAUUGAAGAUUGUGAAUUCACUUAUUUGUCCACACAGAUACUGCACUUCCUGGGAGUUGAAGGACCGAAAACAUCAGACCCCAGCAAAUAUAUUCGUUAUAUUUAUAACAGAGUGCAUCUUGAGAAUGCUACCGUUAGGGCAAGUGCUGUGAGCACUCUGGCAAAGUUUGGUGCUGCAGUUGAUGCAUUAAAGCCCCGCAUAUUUGUUCUGCUAAGGCGGUGUGUUUUUGACAGUGAUGAUGAGGUUCGUGAUAGAGCAACACUUUAUCUGAACACACUUGGAGGUGAUGGUUCAGUCAUUGAGACUGAUAAAGAUGUGAAGGACUUCCUCUUUGGGUCACUUGAUGUUCCACUUGUCAAUCUGGAAACUAGUUUGAAAAACUAUGAGCCUUCAGAAGAGGCUUUUGACAUUAAUUCAGUGCCCAAGGAGGUCAAGUCUCAGCCUCUUGCAGAGAAGAAAGCCCCUGGCAAAAAACCAACUGGUUUGGGUGCUCCUCCUAGUGGCCCCCCAUCUACUGCCGAUGCAUAUGAAAGGCUGCUUCUAUCCAUUCCUGAGUUUGCAAACUUUGGGAAGCUUUUUAAGUCCUCUGCACCUGUGGAGCUUACUGAAGCGGAGACAGAAUAUGCAGUUAAUGUUGUUAAACACGUUUUUGAUAGGCAUGUUGUAUUUCAGUACAACUGCACAAACACAAUACCAGAACAAUUAUUGGAAGAUGUAAUGACUAAUAUAGAUACUUUACAAUUUCAUACAAUAAUGCUACUCCAUGUCUUCUGUAUAAUUUUUUCCCUCAAUUCCAGGUUAUUGUAAUUGUGGAUGCUUCAGAAGCAGAAGAAUUUUCUGAGGUGUUCUCAAAGCCUCUCAGAUCUCUUCCUUACGACUCACCUGGGCAGACUUUUGUGGCAUUUGAGAAGCCUGAGGGAUUGCCAACUGCUGGAAAAUUUUCUAACAUUCUGAAAUUUAUUGUUAAAGAGGGAGUGUAUCGAAAAUAAAACCUAUGAUAUUUUCUGGAAAUCUCAUCCCUGCUUCAUACAUUGGAUAUUGAACAGGUUGACCCAACCACUGGUGAGGCAGAAGAUGAUGGUGUUGAAGAUGAAUACCAGCUGGAGGAUUUGGAGGUUGUUGCGGCAGAUUACAUAUUGAAAGUGGGGGUGUCUAAUUUCAGGAGUGCGUGGGAAAGCAUGGGUCCUGACUAUGAACGAGUGGAUGAGUAUGGUCUAGGUCCAAGGGAGAGCUUGGCUGAAGCUGUAAAUACCGUCAUCAAUCUACUUGGCAUGCAGCCUUGUGAGGGCACCGAGGUAGUCCCACCCAAUUCACGGUCACACACGUGCUUAUUGUCAGGUAUAUUCAUAGGAAAUGUGAAGGUGCUUGUGCGGUUGUCUUUUGGACUUGAUGGCCCAAAGGAUGUUGCGAUGAAACUGGCCGUCAGAUCUGAGGAUGAAACUGUCAGCGAUACCAUUCAUGAGAUUGUGGCAAGCGGCUAGUUCACUUAAGUCAGGAUCUCGGCCUCCCUUUUUGUUAGUGAGAUUGGUGUAAGCAGCCACAUAGGCGUGUGUAAAGAAUUGCGAAACCUUAACGCUUGGGCUUAGUAUAUGCAAUUUAUCGGUCACUCAUUGCAUGCUUGAUAGACUAGGAACGAUACUGACAAGUAUCUCGUUGGGUGUCAUGAUUAUACUUCAUUUCUUUGUAGCAACUGUAAUGCGAAUUUUGGGGAUUUGCCAUUUGUUAUUCUCAUUGAUUUGGAUAUUUGUUAAAACAUCAAUUGUUUAGUGCAAAGGAUCCUUCUUUUAGUGCU